rnacentral:sRNA from 1 species
UUUAUGAAGGAGAGGUCUAAAGAAAUAACACUUGUUAUUGGUAUGGACUUAGAGGUAGGAUUUCUCUCAGAGCAAGGAGGUUCUUCAAGCAAAUUCUGAUACCAGCCUCUUUCCUUUGGAAGUAGGAAACAGAGUCCCUAGAGACAAUUUACUUCAACUUUUGGGAACUUUGAAGAUCAGUCUUUGAGAACUUAGUUGUUGUCUAGUGGCCAACUAGAUGUUGUGAAUAAUAGAAAUUAACAGGUGAACUUGGAUGUCAUGGAUUAAAAAUUAAGUGUCAGUGUAGCUACUGUAGGAGCACUUUCAUGUACUUUGUUGUUUCUGCCUCCAGGGACCUAAUACCUAUCAUUGCUGCUCUGGAAUAUAAUCAGUGGUUCACAAAGCUGUCCUCUAAGGAUCUAAAACUGUCCACUGAUGUCUGUGAACAGAUCUUGAGGGUGGUGAGUAGGUCCAAUCGACUGGAAGAAUUGGUGUUGGAAAAUGCUGGACUUAGAACAGAUUUUGCACAAAAACUGGCCAGUGCUCUAGCACAUAAUCCCAACUCAGGACUCCACACAAUUAACCUUGCUGGCAACCCACUGGAGGAUAGAGGUACUGCAGAGUUCUCAUUAUCAUUGAUGCCAGAAUUGUAAGAGGAUUAGAGAAUUUUAAUUUAGCCAUGCCUGAAGAGCUGUAUCAAGCUAAGUU